rnacentral:rRNA from 1 species
UACGUAGGGCGCAAGCGUUGUCCGGAAUUAUUGGGCGUAAAGAGCUCGUAGGCGGUUUGUCGCGUCUGCCGUGAAAACCCGAGGCUUAACCUCGUGGCUUGCGGUGGAUACGGGCAGACUAGAGGUAGGUAGGGGAGAAUGGAAUUCCUGGUGUAGCGGUGAAAUGCGCAGAUAUCAGGAGGAACACCGGUGGCGAAGGCGGGUCUCUGGGCCGUAACUGACGCUGAGACACGAAAGCGUGGGUAGCAAACAGG